AGUUUUAUGUAUGUAUAUAAUUGAUCAUUUAUUAUUUGCCAUUUAAAUUGGCUAAAAUUACAUAGAAUGGGUUAUUUAAUCAAAUAUUAGUAUGGAAUGAGGCCACCACUUCUCCUGUUGUCCUUCCCAGCUUCUCCCCAACCUCCCCUUUUGCCUGGUUUAUAAGACAGGAGAAAAGGGAGAAAGCAAAAAGUUGGAAAGAAGCAGAACUAAGAUAAAUAGCUAGACGACCUUGGCGCCACCACCUGACCCUGGUGGUGAAAAUAAUAAUAAUAAUAAUAAUAUUAACCCCUGACCAAAACUACUGGUGUUAUCUGUAAAUUUCAGACAUUGUAUGAGAAAGUACUGUAAAACUUUCUGUUCUGUUAGCUGAUGUAUGUAGCCUCCAGUCACAUUCCUCACACUUACUUGAUUAUGACCUUUUCACGUAGACCCCUUAGAGCUGUAAGCCCUUAAAAGGGCUAGGAAUUUCUUUUUUGGGGAGCUUGGCUCUUAAGACGCGAGUCUGCUGACACUCCCAGCUGAAUAAAAAACCUCUUCCUUCUUUAAUCUGGUGUCUGAGGAGUUUUGUCUGUGACUCAUCCUGCUACAUUAGAAAUAUGUAUCUUUCACAAAUGGAAUCUAACCACCCAAAGUUGAAGAGCAUCUCCCUAUGUUGAAUAAAUAUGAAGGAGUUCAAAUUUUGGAACUGAUAUUGUGCUUUCCACUACACCUCAUUUUUUUCUUAUUCUAUUUUGAUUUCUUCUGUGUUCAUGAGCUUGUGAACCAAAAGUAUCUACUAGGUCUCAAUCAAUUUAGAAAUCUAUUUUGCCAAGGUUAAAAAUGCCCCCGUGACACAGCCUCAGGAGGUCCUGACAACGUGUGCCCAAGGUGUUCAGGCUGCAGUUUGGUUUUACACAUUUUAGGGAGACAUAAUACAUCAAUCAAAACAUGUAAGUUAUACAUUGGUUUGGUCUGGAAAGGUGGAAUAACUGCAAUUGGGGGGCUUCUGGGUCACACGUAGAUAACAAAUGAUCACAUUGAGUCUUUCAUCAGCCUUUCACUGAAUACACAAUUUUUUUUUUUUUUUCCGUGACAGAGUCUCGCUCUGUCACCCAGGCUGGAGUGCAGUGGCCCGAUCUCCACUCACUGCAAGCUCUGCCUCCUGGGUUCACGCCAUUCUCCUGCCUCAGCCUCCCGAGUAGCUGGACUACAGGCUUCCACCACCACACCUGGCUAAUUUUUUGUAUUUUCAGUAGAGACAGGGUUUUACCGUGUUCAUGUUUGCCAGGAUGGUCUCGAUCUCCUGACCUCAGGAUCCACCCACCUCGGCCUCCCAAAGUGCUGGGAUUACAGGCGUGAGCCACCACCAUGCCUGGCCCUGAAUACACAAUUUACAUGUGAGAGGGGGUGGAGGAAUAGUCACUUAUGCCUUAGACUGCCUCAGUGACUCUACAUUUUUACAUAAAUAGGACAGGGGAAGCAAUCAGAUAGGCAUUCAUCUCAGGUGUGCAGAGGGAUGGGUUCUGUCCCACACCUGUGAAGAUAAGCUAUUAG
rnacentral:lncRNA from 1 species